GAUGAACGCUGGCGGCGUGCUUAACACAUGCAAGUCGAACGAACCUUCGGGUUAGUGGCGGACGGGUGAGUAACGCGUGAGAAUCUGCCCUCAGGAGGGGGACAACAGCUGGAAACGGCUGCUAAUACCCCAUAUGCCGCGAGGUGAAAUGAAUUUCGCCUGAGGAUGAGCUCGCGUCUGAUUAGCUAGUUGGUGUAGGUAAUGGCUCACCAAGGCAUCGAUCAGUAGCUGGUCUGAGAGGAUGAUCAGCCACACUGGGACUGAGACACGGCCCAGACUCCUACGGGAGGCAGCAGUGGGGAAUUUUCCGCAAUGGGCGAAAGCCUGACGGAGCAACGCCGCGUGAGGGAUGAAGGCCUCUGGGCUGUAAACCUCUUUUAUCAAGGAAGAAGAUCUGACGAUACUUGAUGAAUAAGCCACGGCUAAUUCCGUG
rnacentral:rRNA from 1 species